rnacentral:rRNA from 1 species
GACGAACGCUGGCGGCGUGCUUAACGCAUGCAAGUCGAACGGAAAGGCCCUGCUUUUGUGGGGUGCUCGAGUGGCGAACGGGUGAGUAACACGUGAGUAACCUGCCCUUGACUUUGGGAUAACUUCAGGAAACUGGGGCUAAUACCGGAUAGGAGCUCCUGCUGCAUGGUGGGGGUUGGAAAGUUUCGGCGGUUGGGGAUGGACUCGCGGCUUAUCAGCUUGUUGGUGGGGUAGUGGCUUACCAAGGCUUUGACGGGUAGCCGGCCUGAGAGGGUGACCGGCCACAUUGGGACUGAGAUACGGCCCAGACUCCUACGGGAGGCAGCAGUGGGGAAUAUUGCACAAUGGGCGGAAGCCUGAUGCAGCAACGCCGCGUGCGGGAUGACGGCCUUCGGGUUGUAAACCGCUUUCACCUGUGACGAAGCGUGAGUGACGGUAAUGGGUAAAGAAGCACCGGCUAACUACGUGCCAGCAGCCGCGGUGAUACGUAGGGUGCGAGCGUUGUCCGGAUUUAUUGGGCGUAAAGGGCUCGUAGGUGGUUGAUCGCGUCGGAAGUGUAAUCUUGGGGCUUAACCCUGAGCGUGCUUUCGAUACGGGUUGACUUGAGGAAGGUAGGGGAGAAUGGAAUUCCUGGUGGAGCGGUGGAAUGCGCAGAUAUCAGGAGGAACACCAGUGGCGAAGGCGGUUCUCUGGGCCUUUCCUGACGCUGAGGAGCGAAAGCGUGGGGAGCGAACAGGCUUAGAUACCCUGGUAGUCCACGCUGUAAACGGUGGGUACUAGGUGUGGGGUCCAUUCCACGGGUUCCGUGCCGUAGCUAACGCUUUAAGUACCCCGCCUGGGGAGUACGGCCGCAAGGCUAAAACUCAAAGGAAUUGACGGGGCCCCGCACAAGCGGCGGAGCAUGCGGAUUAAUUCGAUGCAACGCGUAGAACCUUACCUGGGUUUGACAUGGAUCGGGAGCGCUCAGAGAUGGGUGUGCCUCUUUUGGGGUCGGUUCACAGGUGGUGCAUGGCUGUCGUCAGCUCGUGUCGUGAGAUGUUGGGUUAAGUCCCGCAACGAGCGCAACCCUUGUUCACUGUUGCCAGCACGUUAUGGUGGGGACUCAGUGGAGACCGCCGGGGUCAACUCGGAGGAAGGUGGGGAUGACGUCAAGUCAUCAUGCCCCUUAUGUCCAGGGCUUCACGCAUGCUACAAUGGCUGGUACAGAGAGUGGCGAGCCUGUGAGGGUGAGCGAAUCUCGGAAAGCCGGUCUCAGUUCGGAUUGGGGUCUGCAACUCGACCUCAUGAAGUCGGAGUCGCUAGUAAUCGCAGAUCAGCAACGCUGCGGUGAAUACGUUCCCGGG